rnacentral:rRNA from 1 species
GAGCAGUCUAACUGGCAGUCGAACGGGGUCCUAGUGCGGAAGUUUUCGGAUGGAAGGAUUAAGACUUAGUGGCGGACGGGUGAGUAACGCGUGGGUAACCUGCCCUGUACAGGGGGAUAACAGUUGGAAACGGCUGCUAAAACCGCAUAACAUGGAGGUACCGCAUGAUAUUUCCAUCAAAUAUUUAUAGGUACAGGAUGGGCCCGCGUCUGAUUAGCCAGUUGGCAGGGUAAUGGCCUACCAAAGCGACGAUCAGUAGCCGGCUUGAGAGAGUGACCGGCCACAUUGGGACUGAGACACGGCCCAAACUCCUACGGGAGGCAGCAGUGGGGGAUAUUGCACAAUGGGGGAAACCCUGAUGCAGCGACGCCGCGUGAGUGAAGAAGUAUUUCGGUAUGUAAAGCUCUAUCGGCAGGGAAGAAAAAAAUGACAGUACCUGACUAAGAAGCCCCGGCUAACUACGUGCCAGCAGCCGCGGUAAUACGUAGGGGGCAAGCGUUAUCCGGAUUUACUGGGUGUAAAGGGAGCGUAGGCGGCCACGCAAGUCAGAAGUGAAAACCCGGGGCUCAACCCUGGGAGUGCUUUUGAAACUGUGCGGCUAGAGUGUCGGAGGGGUAAGUGGAAUUCCUAGUGUAGCGGUGAAAUGCGUAGAUAUUAGGAGGAACACCAGUGGCGAAGGCGGCUUACUGGACGAUGACUGACGCUGAGGCUCGAAAGCGUGGGGAGCANACAGGAUUAGAUACCCUGGUAGUCCACGCCGUAAACGAUGAAUACUAGGUGUCGGGGGUCAUAAGACUUUCGGUGCCGUCGCACAAGGCGUAAGUAUUCCACCUGGGGAGUACGUUCCGCA